GGAGUUGUGGCUCGGUGGUAGAGCAUGUGCCUAGCAUGCACGAGGCCCUGGGUUUGCCCCCAGGACCACCA
rnacentral:tRNA from 1 species